rnacentral:rRNA from 1 species
CAAUAACGUAUAUUAAAGUUGUCGCGGUUAAAAAGCUCGUAGUUGGAUUUCUGCCGAGGACGACCGGUCCGCCCUCUGGGUGAGUAUCUGGCUCGGCCUGGGCAUCUUCUUGGAGAACGUAGCUGCCCUUGACUGUGUGGUGCGGUAUCCUGGACUUUUACUUUGAGGAAAUUAAAGUGUUUCAAGCAGGCACACGCCUUGAAUACAUUAGCAUGGAAUAAUAAGAUAGGACCUCGGUUCUAUUUUGUUGGUUUCUAGAGCUGAGGUAAUGAUUAAUAGGGAUAGUUGGGGGCAUUCGUAUUUAACUGUCAGAAAUGAAAUUCUUGGAUUUGUUAAAGACGGACUACUGCGAAAGCAUUUGCCAAGGGUGUUUUCAUUGAUCAAGAACGAAAGUUAGGGGAUCGAAGACGAUUAGAUACCAU